UACAGAGGGUGCAAGCGUUAAUCGGAUUUACUGGGCGUAAAGCGCGCGUAGGCGGCUAAUUAAGUCAAAUGUGAAAUCCCCGAGCUUAACUUGGGAAUUGCAUUCGAUACUGGUUAGCUAGAGUGUGGGAGAGGAUGGUAGAAUUCCAGGUGUAGCGGUGAAAUGCGUAGAGAUCUGGAGGAAUACCGAUGGCGAAGGCAGCCAUCUGGCCUAACACUGACGCUGAGGUGCGAAAGCAUGGGAGCAACAGG
rnacentral:rRNA from 1 species